rnacentral:lncRNA from 1 species
CGCCGCCUGAAGAGACAAGAUGGCGGAGCUUGCGAAAUCGAAAAUUAGUACUUGAAAGUCAAUGGUUGAUCAUGAUGACCAUCUUUAAUUUAAUGUGGAAAGAUUAACCAAUAUUUGCAGCUGGAGAGGCUAUCACCACAGUUCAAUGAUUUAGUUAAGACAAUGAAAUAGAAGAACUCCAUGCUAACACUUGCAUCAGUGGAAGUACUUCUUAUUGGAUAGAGAACUUUACAAGGUCAGCCAUCAGCUUUUGAAGUUGCUUUCUUGGCACAUCAUGCUGUCCAGUGGAGUUCAUACCAUAUGCCAGGCCUUUAUACAUGGUCAAAGAAGAUGAAUUUGUUAUUCAAUUUGUGAAAUUUGAUUUAAGGAGGACUUUCAUAUAUGAUGAUUAUAUUCAGUCGAUUAUCUUCAAGUGUGCACUUCAUAGAAUCACAGUUUCUAGGAGGUUUUCAGUUUAAAGUUAGAUUAAUUGAAAAAUAAGUAAACCUAUCAUACUCACCAUGGCAUCGGCAUUGGCAUUACACCAGUUUUAAGUUUUUCUUACCAGUCCAUAUUUUAAAAGGACCUUUUG